rnacentral:rRNA from 1 species
AGCAUAUCAAUAAGCGGAGGAAAAGAAACCAACAGGGAUUGCCUCAGUAACGGCGAGUGAAGCGGCAACAGCUCAAAUUUGAAAUCUGGCCCCCUCGGGGUCCGAGUUGUAAUUUGCAGAGGGAGCUUUUGGCGUCGGUCGUGGUCUAAGUUCCUUGGAACAGGACGUCACAGAGGGUGAGAAUCCCGUACGUGGCCGCCGGCCUUCGCCUUGUAAAGCCCCUUCGACGAGUCGAGUUGUUUGGGAAUGCAGCUCUAAAUGGGAGGUAAAUUUCUUCUAAAGCUAAAUACCCGCCAGAGACCGAUAGCGCACAAGUAGAGUGAUCGAAAGAUGAAAAGCACUUUGGAAAGAGAGUGAAAAAGCACGUGAAAUUGUUGAAAGGGAAGCGCUUGCGGCCAGACGUGCCCGCGGUUGAUCAUCCAGGCUCCAGCCUGGUGCACUCCUCCGCGGGCAGGCCAGCAUCAGUUCGGGCGGUCGGAUAAAGGCCUCUGUCACGUACCACCCCCCGGGGUGGCCUUAUAGGGGAGGCGCAACACGGCCAGUCCGGACUGAGGUUCCGCGCAUCUGCUAGGAUGCUGGCGUAAUGGCAGCAAGCGGCCCGUCUUGAAACACGGACCAAGGAGUCUAACAUCUAUGCGAGUGUUUGGGUGUCAAGCCCGAGCGCGCAAUGAAAGUGAACGGAGGUGGGAACCCUUGCGGGUGCACCAUCGACCGAUCCUGAUGUCUUCGGAUGGAUUUGAGUAAGAGCAUAGCUGUUGGGACCCGAAAGAUGGUGAACUAUGCCUGAAUAGGGUGAAGCCAGAGGAAACUCUGGUGGAGGCUCGCAGCGGUUCUGACGUGCAAAUCGAUCGUCAAAUUUGGGCAUAGGGGCGAAAGACUAAUCGAACCAUCUAGUAGCUGGUUCCUGCCGA